rnacentral:rRNA from 1 species
AUACGUAGGGGGCGAGCGUUGUCCGGAAUGAUUGGGCGUAAAGGGCGCGUAGGCGGCGCGGAAAGUCUGGGGUGAAAGUCCUGCUUUCAAGGGGGGAAUUGCUUUGGAUACUGCCGCGCUUGAGUGCGGGGGAGGUUAUGGGAAUUCCCGUUGUGGCGGUGAAAUGCGUAGAGAUCGGGAGGAACACCAGUGGCGAAGGCGGGUAACUGGACUGCAACUGACGCUGAGGCGCGAAAGUGUGGGGAGCAAACAGGAUUAGAUACCCUGGUAGUCCACACUGUAAACGAUGAAUGCUAGGUGUAAGAGGUAUCGACCCCUUUUGUGCCGGAGUCAACACAAUAAGCAUUCCGCCUGGGGAGUACGGCCGCAAGGUUGAAACUCAAAUGAAUUGACAGGG